rnacentral:rRNA from 1 species
GAUGAACGCUGGCGGCGUGCCUAAUACAUGCAAGUCGAGCGAACAGAUGAGGCGCUUGCUCCUCUGACGUUAGCGGCGGACGGGUGAGUAACACGUGGAUAACCUACCUAUAAGACUGGGAUAACUUCGGGAAACCGGAGCUAAUACCGUAUAAUAUAUUGAACCGCAUGGUUCAAUAGUGAAAGACGGUGUUGCUGUCACUUAUAGAUGGAUCCGCGCCGCAUUAGCUAGUUGGUAAGGUAACGGCUUACCAAGGCAACGAUGCGUAGCCGACCUGAGAGGGUGAUAGGCCACACGGGAACUGAGACACGGUCAAGAAUACUACGGGAGGCAGCAGAAGGGAACCUUCCGCAAUGGGCGAAAGCAUGACGGAGCAACGCCGAGUGAGUGAUGAAGGUCUUCGGAGCGUAAAAAUCUGUUAUUAGGGAAGAACAAAUGUGUAAGUAACUAUGCACGUAUUGACGGUAACUAAUCAGAAAGCCACGGCUAACUACGUG